rnacentral:rRNA from 1 species
GUAGGAUUAGCUAGUUGGUAGGGUAAAGGCCUACCAAGGCGACGAUCGUUAGCUGGUCUGANAGGAUGGCCAGCCACACUGGAACCUUGAGACACGGUCCCAGACUCCUACGGGAGGCAGCAGUGGGGAAUAUUGGACAAUGGGGGCAACCCUGAUCCAGCAAUGCCGCGUGUGUGAAGAAGGCCUGAGGGUUGUAAAGCACUUUCAGUGGGGAGGAGGGUACUUAGGUUAAGAGCUAGAGUAUUGGACGUUACCCACAGAAGAAGCACCGGCUAACUCCGUG